CCUACGGGUGGCAGCAGUGAGGAAUAUUGGUCAAUGGCCGGAAGGCUGAACCAGCCAAGCCGCGUGAAGGACGAAGGUGCCAAGCAUUGUAAACUUCUUUUGUCAAGGGACAAAAUCAGGCUCGAGAGCCUGACCGUGUGUACUUGAAGAAAAAGCAUCGGCUAACUCCGUGCCAGCAGCCGCGGUAAUACGGAGGAUGCGAGCGUGAUCCGGAUUUAUUGGGUUAAAGGGGGGCGUAGGCGGGCUGUUACUUCAGCGGUAAAAGCCCGGGGUCAAACCACGGCGAGCCGUUGAAACUGGCUGUCUUGAGAUGUCGAGAGGUAUGCGGAAUGCGCAGUGUAGCGGUGAAAUGCUUAGAUAUUGCGCAGAACUCCGAUUGCGAAGGCAGCAUACCGGCGGCGAUCUGACGCUGAGGCACGAAAGCGUGGGUAUCGAACAGGAUUAGAUACCCGGGUAGUC
rnacentral:rRNA from 1 species